GACGAACGCUGGCGGCGUGCCUAAUACAUGCAAGUCGAACGCAGUGGGGACGGUGGAGUAACACGUGGGUAACCUCCCCAUCAGAGGGGAUAACACUUGGAAACAGGUGCUAAACCGAUACUGAUGGAUGGACCAGAGGUGCAUUAGCGAGUUGGUGAGGUAACGGCUCACCAAGGCCACGCUGCAUAGCCGACCUGAGAGGGUGAUCGGCCACACUGGGACUGAGACACGGCCCAGACGCCUACGGGAGGCAGCAGUAGGGAAUCUUCGGCAAUGGACGAAAGUCUGACUGAGCAACGCCGCUUGAGUGAAGAAGGUUUUCGGAUCGGAAAACUCUGUUGGUAGAGAAGCGGUAUCUAACCAGAAAGCCACGGCUAACUACGUGCCAGCAGCCGCGGUAAUUC
rnacentral:rRNA from 1 species